GGAGUUAGCCGGUGCUUCUUCUGUGAGUGAUGUCCUUCCUGCCGGCUAUUAACCCGCAGGCCUUCUUCCUCACUGAAAGUGCUUUACAACCCGAAGGCCUUCUUCACACACGCGGCAUGGCUGGAUCAGGGUUGCCCCCAUUGUCCAAUAUUCCACACUGCUGCCUCCCGUAGGAGUCUGGGCCGUGUCUCAGUCCCAGUGUGGCUGAUCAUCCUCUCAGACCAGCUACGGAUCGUCGCCUUGGUGAGCCGUUACCUCACCAACCAGCUAAUCCGACAUAGGCUCAUCCGAUAGCGCGAGGCCCGAAGGUCCCCCGCUUUCCCCCGUAGGGCGUAUGCGGUAUUAGCCUGGGUUUCCCCAGGUUAUCCCCCACUACCGGGCAGAUUCCUAUGCAUUACUCACCCGUCCGCCGCUCGCCACCAGGGAGCAAGCUCCCCGUGCUGCCGCUCGACUUGCAUGUGUUAGGCCUGCCGCCAGCGUUCAAUCUGAGCCAGGAUCAAACUCUGA
rnacentral:rRNA from 1 species